GCACAGUCAAACCUCCGAACAAUCCAUGCUAAGACUACACAAGCCAAAGCAAACUAACACUUGCAAUUGACCCAAUAAUUUGAUCAACGGAACA
rnacentral:rRNA from 1 species